rnacentral:tRNA from 1 species
GGCUGCGUCGGCGCGGCGGAGCGCGCCGCGGGCCGCCGUCCGGCGAACGGUACGGUCCUUGCAGGAGGCUGGGUUGAAUCCCCUGCCCGGCGC